AUUGAACGCUGGCGGCAUGCCUUACACAUGCAAGUCGAACGGUAACGGGCCUUCGGGUGCCGACGAGUGGCGAACGGGUGAGUAAUGCAUCGGAACGUACCUUUCAGUGGGGGAUAACGUAGCGAAAGUUACGCUAAUACCGCAUAUUCUGUGAGCAGGAAAGCAGGGGAUCGCAAGACCUUGCGCUGAUUGAGCGGCCGAUGUCAGAUUAGCUAGUUGGUGAGGUAAAGGCUCACCAAGGCGACGAUCUGUAGCGGGUCUGAGAGGAUGAUCCGCCACACUGGAACUGAGACACGGUCCAGACUCCUACGGGAGGCAGCAGUGGGGAAUUUUGGACAAUGGGGGCAACCCUGAGCCAGCCAUGCCGCGUGAGUGAAGAAGGCCUUCGGGUUGUAAAGCUCUUUCGGCCGGGAAGAAAUCGUAUGGGCUAAUACCCUGUGCGGAUGACGGUACCGGCAUAAGAAGCACCGGCCAACUACGUGCCAGCCGCCGCCGUAACAC
rnacentral:rRNA from 1 species